CUACUGGGGUUUCUAAUCCUGUUCGCUCCCCAUGCUUUCGCUCCUCAGCGUCAGUUAAUGCCCAGAGACCUGCCUUCGCCAUCGGUGUUCCUCCUGAUAUCUGCGCAUUUCACCGCUACACCAGGAAUUCCAGUCUCCCCUACAUCACUCUAGUCUGCCCGUACCCACCGCAGAUCCGGAGUUGAGCCCCGGACUUUCACGGCAGACGCGACAAACCGCCUACGAGCUCUUUACGCCCAAUAAUUCCGGAUAACGCUUGCGCCCUACGUAUUACCGCGGCUGCUGGCAC
rnacentral:rRNA from 1 species